UACGUAGGGUGCGAGCGUUAAUCGGAAUUACUGGGCGUAAAGCGUGCGCAGGCGGUUUUGUAAGCCAGAUGUGAAAUCCCCGGGCUCAACCUGGGAAUGGCAUUUGGGACUGCAAGGCUUGAGUGCGGCAGAGGAGACUGGAAUUCCUGGUGUAGCAGUGAAAUGCGUAGAUAUCAGGAGGAAUACCGAUGGCGAAGGCAGGUCUCUGGGCUGACACUGACGCUCAUGCACGAAAGCGUGGGGA
rnacentral:rRNA from 1 species